rnacentral:miRNA from 1 species
GGAAUCUUGCUAAACAGCAGAGUCAGAUUCAGCAGGUCUGGGGUGUGGCCUGAGAUUCUGCAUUUCUAACAAGCUC